AGAAACUUUAUGUCCGAGUUAUUUUUGCUGAUGUUUUUUUGCAGCACUGGGAAUCAGACCCAGGGCCUUGUCACUCUACCACCGAGUAACAUCCCCAGCCCUACGUACAAGUAGUUUUUGUGCUGCAAAAAGUUCCUCAGGAGACCUCCUCGGUGCUGGACCUAAGCAAAACAGUGAAAAUCCAUUGGUGCAGAAGCCCCUGCUGCAGGUGCUAGGAAUAUUAUCAACACCUAAAGCCACCCUACGGCACGGGUAUGACGGAUGACCAAACAGAGGCUCGGCAAGAUAGGAACCUGCCCAAGGUCACGCAGCGCUGGCAACACCAGAACUCAGACCCAAGUGUGUCUCGACUGUAGGAAACCCCUAUUUUUCUGCCCUCAGAGUCUGGUUUUCUCCCAGCCCCCUCUUUUCUUCCGGAAGGAGCACUGUCCCCCAGAUGUCUCCUUCCCUGCUCAUGUGUGGAUUGUUCUCAAGUGAGGUCCAUCUCCAGGCCGCAGUUGGUUCCAUCCAGGCGGGGACCUGACCCAGGGAGCGGGUGCCAGUGUGUUCUUCCUCGGGGGUUUGACCCCGAGGUGGCAUUGCACUCUGACACAGCCAGGCCGCGAACUCCAGGCCCUGCCAUCUCGAGAAACUGGUCUUCAGGGAGAGAGAAGGAAGUGACCGCAAGAGAAACCGAGGAGACAGAAGCCUGGCAGCACUCACCGAGGCCCCUCCAUCCCCACCUUCCCCGUGGCCAGAUUGUCGUCC
rnacentral:lncRNA from 1 species